rnacentral:rRNA from 1 species
GAUGAACGCUGGCGGCGUGCCUAAUACAUGCAAGUCGAGCGAACAGACGAGGAGCUUGCUCCUCUGACGUUAGCGGCGGACGGGUGAGUAACACGUGUAUAACCUACCUAUAAGACUGGGAUAACUUCGGGAAACCGGAGCUAAUACCGGAUAAUAUAUUGAACCGCAUGGUUCAAUAGUGAAAGUCGGUUUUGCUGUCACUUAUAGAUGGAUCUGCGCCGCAUUAGCUAGUUGGUAAGGUAACGGCUUACCAAGGCAACGAUGCGUAGCCGACCUGAGAGGGGGAUCGGCCACACUAGAACUGAGACGCGGUCCAGACUCCUAAGGGAGGCAGCAGUAGGGAAUCUUACGCAGUAGGCGAAAGCAUGACGGAGCAACGGCGCGUGAGUGAUGGAGGUCUUCGGAGCGUAAAACUCUGUUAUUAGGUAAGAACAAAUGUGGAAGGAACUAUGCACGUCUUGACGGUACUUAAUCAGAAAGCCACGGCUAACUACGUG